rnacentral:rRNA from 1 species
UACGGAGGGAGCUAGCGUUGUUCGGAAUCAUUGGGCGUAAAGCGUGCGUAGGCGGCUUGUUAAGUCCGCUGUGAAAUCCCCGAGCUCAACUUGGGAAUUGCAGUGGAUACUGGCAAGCUGGAGUACGGUAGAGGAAGGUGGAAUUCCCGGUGUAGCAGUGAAAUGCGUAGAGAUCGGGAGGAACACCAGUGGCGAAGGCGGCCUUCUGGACCAGUACUGACGCUCAUGCACGAAAGCGUGGGGAGCAAACAGG